rnacentral:rRNA from 1 species
UACACGCAUGACACACUGCAUAUCAAUAAGCGGAGGAAAAGAAACUAACUAAGGAUUCCCUUAGUAACGGCGAGUGAAGCGGGAAGAGCUCAAAUUUGAAAUCUUCAAGGUUCUACCUUGACGAAUUGUAGUUUAUAAGAAGUGUUUUCUGUUAGUAGAGUUGGCUAAAAGUUCUUUGGAAUAGGACAUCAUAGAGGGUGAGAAUCCCGUAUUUGACCAUUAUUUCCAACUUUGUGAUACACUUUCAAAGAGUCGGAUUGUUUGGGAAUGCAGUCCAAAAUGGGUGGUAAAUUUCAUCUAAAGCUAAAUACUGGCGAGAGACCGAUAGCGAACAAGUACCGUGAGGGAAAGAUGAAAAGAACUUUGAAAAGAGAGUUAAACAGUACGUGAAAUUGUCAAAAGGGAAGCGUUUGACACCAGUGUUGUUUUCUCGAAAAUCAAUUAAAAAUGGUGGGAUGUUGUGUUGUAUUGACUUUAUCAGCUUUCUGCACUUUUUUUCCUAUCUUUUUUAAUGCACUUUUCGUUUAACAAGUCAACAUCAAUUUCUUUUGUUGUAAUAGAGUCAUUGGAAGGUGGCUUUCUUUUCGGAGAAAGUGUUUAUAGCCUUUGGCCUCUGCAGUCGGAGAGAUUGAGGUCUGCAGCGUAGAUCCUUCGGGGUUAGAUACAUUUGUGCUAAGUUAUAGCUUUUCAUAGACAACUUGUUGACUAUGUUAAGUCUUGUAGCUUACUCGCUUAUGCUAUUUUACCUACGCUUAGGAUGUUGAGUCGUAGAGCACGCAG